ACGUAGGGUGCGAGCGUUGUUCGGAAUUACUGGGCGUAAAGCGCGCGCAGGCGGCCUUUUAAGUCUGACGGUGAAAUGCCGGGGCUCAACCCCGUGCCCGCCGGAGAUACUGGGAGGCUGGAGACGAGUAGAGGCAAGCGGAAUUCCGGGUGUAGCGGUGGAAUGCGUAGAGAUCCGGAAGAACACCGGAGGCGAAGGCGGCUUGCUGGGCUCGGUCUGACGCUGAGGCGCGAAAGCGUGGGGAGCGAACAGGA
rnacentral:rRNA from 1 species